AACGCACCUUGCGCCUCUUUGGAGGCAUGGCUGGUUGAGUGUCUGUUCUCUCUCUCCACAUAGAAAUGUGUGAAGGAUGUGAGCCUUGUCUCAGGACUGGCUUUGAAUGAAGACAGGAGCGACUGCUGAUACGCGUCAUAAGGAUUCGUCCUCGCGUGGAACUGUCGCAACCCUGAUCAGUGGUCUGCAAUAACACCACAUACAAAAAACACUGGACCUCAACUCAGCCAAGACUACCCGCUGAAUUUAA
rnacentral:misc_RNA from 1 species